UCAAAUGGAAUUUUUAUU
rnacentral:miRNA from 2 species